rnacentral:misc_RNA from 1 species
AAAAAAAUAACUAAUUGCACAUGUUGCGACUAAUUUGCGAGACGAAUCUUUUGAGCCUAAUUACGCCAUGAUUUGACAAUGUGGUGCUACAAUAAAUAUUUGCUAAUGACGGAUUAAUUAGGCCUAAUAGAUUCGUCUCGCGGUUUAUUGACGGAUUCUGUAAUUAGUUUUUUUAUUAGU